AACGUAGGACACAAGCGUUAUCCGGAGUUACUGGGCGUAAGGGCGUGUAGGCGGGAAGAUAAGUCAGAUGUGAAAUUCCAUGGCUCAACUGUGGCGCUGCAUCUGAAACUAUUUUUCUUGAGUGAUGGAGAGGAAAGCGGAAUUCCUAGUGUAGCGGUGAAAUGCGUAGAUAUUAGGGAGGAACACCAGUGGCGAAGGCGCUUUCUGGACAUUUAACUGGAC
rnacentral:rRNA from 1 species